rnacentral:rRNA from 1 species
UACGGAGGGUGCAAGCGUUGUCCGGAUUUAUUGGGUUUAAAGGGUGCGUAGGCGGCCCUGUAAGUCAGUGGUGAAAUUCUUGAGCUUAACUGAAGGAUUGCCAUUGAUACUGUAGGGCUUGAGUACAGAUGAGGUAGGCGGAAUUGAUGGUGUAGCGGUGAAAUGCAUAGAUACCAUCAAAAACACCGAUUGCGAAGGCAGCUUACUAAGCUGUAACUGACGCUGAUGCACGAAAGCGUGGGGAUCGAACAGG